rnacentral:rRNA from 1 species
UACGUAGGGCGCAAGCGUUGUCCGGAAUUAUUGGGCGUAAAGAGCUCGUAGGCGGUUUGUCGCGUCUGCUGUGAAAACUCGAGGCUCAACCUCGGGCCUGCAGUGGGUACGGGCAGACUAGAGUGCGGUAGGGGAGACUGGAAUUCCUGGUGUAGCGGUGGAAUGCGCAGAUAUCAGGAGGAACACCGAUGGCGAAGGCAGGUCUCUGGGCCGCAACUGACGCUGAGGAGCGAAAGCAUGGGGAGCGAACAGG